UGUAAAAAAACUUCACAAAGACACAUGACAUCAUCGGGUUACAGAGCGCUUUACACACAGCCUCACCUCGCUCUCUGCGCAGCCCUGCGAGCUACAGAUAAUUCUCCCAACCGCAUGCGACAAAACCGAGGCUCGGCAAAGCGCAGAUAAGUGGCCCGAUGUCACGGAUGUGACUAAAUAUUAGCAGGUCUAGGAUGAAAACCCCUAUCGCUCUGAUUUUGAAGUUGCUGUUGGGUUUCUCUCUCUCUUUUUCUCUCUCUCUCUUCCUACAUUACAGGUGCUCAUUCCAUCUCAUAAGGGCUCAGCGUUAAGAGAGAAACUUGAUGGGUGCUGGAGGACAGUGAAUGUUACUGCCGGAUGGUGACGUUUCCCCCUCACCCCCUGAACACAGGACGCCCGUCACCACCUGCCUUACAGCCAGCCCAGUGCACGCUGGCGGCCGGAAGGGGUACGCGCACGCACGCACGCACGGACGCAUGCGCACACGGGCUCUGUGAUAGCAAGAUGAGCAAGAAUCGGGGUGGCUGCCAAAAACGCAGCCCCGUGGCCUUCCGCCCCACCCCGAAAACGUACUUACCCCCGCCUUGCACAGUCUUGUAAAGACUGUGCUGUCGGCCCACGUUAGGGCGUUGUUUUCACUCUGCUGUCUACACGGCCCUGGACGGGCUCAUCCACGUCUGCGCUUUGGCUGAGACCGCAGGCCCCGGAGGGCAGAGACUGGCCGCACGGACCUCGUACCCCGCACCCACGCCGAGCCAGACACAAUCAUGUGCUUAAUAAAGGUUGCAGCAGAUGACCACAGAGAUACAACUGCAUUAUUCCAACUUAAAGAGAGGCGAGCCCUCCGGGCAGGGCAACUUUCCGCGGACAGCGCUGGGCAGCGGAACGGACACAACCACCCGGACAAAGCGCGGAUCUGCGUCCUCGGCCCUCCCCGGCGCCACCCGGCUCCAGAACAGAAGGGUCCCCUCUCGGUGCAAUGGGGACGAUAACAGCCCCUUCGCGGGGCGGGGGUGCAGUCAAGCGAACGGGCUGAGAAACGCUUAGUGAACAGAAAAGCACUAUGAAUCUGUCGCUCAGGAAAAAGGAACAAGAAGUAAAAAAAUAACAACCGAGCCAGCGCCUGGGAUGUCCAAGCAUCCGGCGCCUUAUUACCAGGAAUGCCUCCCGAGCUUUCCAUCCGCAGCAGCGGAAACGGUCUCCUUCACCUGAUCCCCUGGGCCUGGCGGAGGGCCUGGCGCAGGGCCUGGUGCAUCCCGGCGAGCGGGCCGGGCGCGCCAGAGAGCCUUGCGAAAAGCUGGCUGCUUCGAUGAAAAGUCGCUUUGCACCCACCUUUGGGAGCAGCUGGAGAGAAGGGAAGAAGCCCAGGUUCUCUCCCAAUCCCGUUACGUCCCACUAAGCCCUCUAGCCAUCCUGGAUGGAUCACAGCACGCCUCACACGUUUCCCCACAUUGGGGAGUGUUUGUUCCAGGCAUAGACAGACUAGUUAGUGCAAAUGGCCAGGCGGCUGUGGACCCCGAGGAGGGGGGGGGGGGAAGACCUGAGCAGCUACAAAGCUGCCAGGGUCAGUCCUGCGGGGGCGCUGAGCCUGCUUUUCAUGAGGUGAAGGUCCAAGGCUGGUGGUGGGGUGAGAAGGCACCCCAGGACGGGGGCAGGUCCCAAGCCUGAGCCACUAGUAAGUGAGCAGGUGUUGGGUGGGGACCUGGAGGGAGUUGGGGGGACAGGGUGGAGGAGCAGAGGAGUGAGGAGAAGCAGCACCGGUGCCAGGAAGUAGGACUGGCACAGGGGUGCGGUGGGGAGGUCACGGGGGUGCACUGGGGAGGUCACGGAGGUGCGGUGGAGGUCGUGGGGGUGUGGUGGGGAGGUCAUGGGGGUGCAGUGGGGGGUCGUGGGGGUACAGUGGGGAGGUCACAGGGGUGCGGUGGGGAAGUCAGGGGGGUGCGCUGGGGAGGUCACGGGGCUGUAACGGGGAGGUCGCAGUGCUGGCCCCUUUGACGUGGUCUCUGGAUGAUCAUUCCUUCCCCGGGGAGCCCCCACUCUGUGUCUAAGAUUGAACUGCUGUCACUUCUCCCGGACGCUCAGGCUUGCUGGGCACCUGGACAAAGGUGAUCUGCCCUCACUCGGAGCUUCCCGGCUGUGCUACUCCUUGGCAGGUUACCACCCACUGCCUUGCUCUGGGAUGAUAUGAACACACUGAGGACCUACUAUGUGCCGAGUGCUCCCCAUGGAGCUAGUCCUCCCCGCGGCCCCAUACUCGGUCACGUCAUCCCCAUUUCAGAGAAGGGCCUUGGAGCGAGGUCAUCGGCCACACGGUCUCCAGGCCGGACACGUGACCCCAGCGCCAGACGCCCUGUCCUUUGGACGAGUCGCUUAACAUCUUUGUGCCUCAGAGUUCCCCUCUGUAAAAUGGGGACGCCAAAUACCUACCUCACCCCCGUGAAGGCCAUUAACGAACCAGGCAUAAAUGCACAGCCAUCACUUAGAAAGGUGCCGGCACACCACUAACUGAGGCUCGGAAACUCGCCCAGCACCCGAUAUGCUACCCAGCUGGGGUGCUAACCGAGUAGGUCUGACUUUAUUUAUUUAUUUUUUUAAUGUUUAUUUAUUUUUGAGACAGAGACAGACACAGCAUGAGCAGGGAAGGGGCAGAGAGAGAGGGAGACACAGAAUGCGAAGCAGGCUCCAGGCUCUGAGCCGUCAGCACAGAGCCCGACGCGGGGCUCGAACUCACGGACCGCGAGAUCAUGACCUGAGCCGAGGUCGGCUGCGUAACCGACUGAGCCACCCAGGCGCCCUUAGUCUGACUUUAAAACCCACUCUCUGUCCAUUUCUCCAGACUGUCCCCGUCUGCGACAAGUCGGGCUGGGUUAGAACGCGCUCGAGGGACACGGGUGCACUCCCCCCCGACCCCCCGCUGUCGCCCCAGCCCCUAGAGGCCGUUGGACCGCGUGAGCCCCGACAAGUCAGGCCAGGGCGAGCGUGUAGUAGACGCCACUGAUGCGUCACCCGCGUCAACCCAGCAGCACAGGAGGAGGAGGAUGCUGGGCCUGCCCCGAAUUUGCUUCCUGCGCCUUUGAGAUUUGGAGGGACACCGCACAGCACGAUGCCUCUCCUAGCACAAUAAUUUAAUGUUUCUUUCCCGUGCUUCGAACACUGCACUUCCUCCAGGAAGCCUUCCCGGAUUGAUUCUAUCUUAAAGAUGGAGAGAAAUGAUUUCAGUUUAGAGGACACAGAGCCAGAGCCGCUCAGCACAUUGCCUGGCCCAGAUGGAAUGUUACCGGCAACGCUGUUGUCCCCGGACUCCUCGUCCUGUGCCCGUUCCCUUGUCCCUGCUGCCUCCCCAGUCCAGUAGGGAGAACGGAUGGUCCAGUGUGGUGGCUGGGGAUUUCCGAAACUAUGCCACUCCGACUCGAUCGCCAGAUAUCCUUCCCUGUACUCACUCUCCUCCCACGUCUGACACAGGUGUUGUUGGUCUCAAAUAAAAAGUCACUGAACUGUC